rnacentral:lncRNA from 1 species
UUGGUCUUCAUCACAGACCCCAAGCAUAUCAGCUCUGCUGUGGUCUUUUAGAUCCAGGGUUUUAUGGAAAUCUGUAACAUUUCCAUACAUCUUCCUUGAGCAUCUGCUGGAGGAGGUUACAUCUUCAGAAGUUAGGUUGUAAAGUUUUUCUUGAGAACGUAGGUAAGUUUCUAAUUCUUUUUCCAAACAGAGUAAAGCUUCUUGGUCAGCAAUAUACU